CAUCAUCUCUUUCAGAUUAACUCAGUCUCAUUUGGGCAAAUAAUUAAUCACUUUUUAUUCAAAUGCUCUAGAAGGAUUGUUAUCUCUUCCUUCUCAGUGGAUCUCACAACCUGAUCUUUCCUUCUAAUACAGUGUUUGGGAACAGAACAAGUAAGAAUGGACAGAGGAAUACCAUGUGCUGACUGACGAACGCCUGGGUUUCUGAACCAAUUGCCAUCAAGGGGAUUGGGAUUACCAUAAUUUUUGCUGAGACUAAGCCCCACCCCAGUAACCAAAGGCUUAUGGGUGGAAUGCAAGCUAUUGGAAGUAUUUGAAGAUGUGACCAAGGAAGCUAUGAGAAUUGGAAAUGAGGCAGUUGUUUAGAAACGGGCUGAUGUGCUUGUGGUAAGGUGGAAGGAGGAAGGCAGAUGAGGAAAGGAAUGUGCAACUGAAGCAAUUAGCUGUUACUAUGUAACGAACCAUCCCAAAACGUAGUGACAUAAAACAACAACCAUUUGUUAUUUCUCAUGCGCUUACAUUUCUACUAGGAAGUUCUGCAAAUCUGGAUUGGUCUUGGCUGAUCUUGGCAGGGCUUGUUCUGGCAUCCACUCUCAGCUGCUGAAUUAGCUCUCAGUUCCUGGUUCAGGGUGGCCUUGGCUUGGAUGACUUGGCUCUGCUCCAUGUAUCUUUCACAUCCUUCCAGCAGGCCAGCUCAAGCCUGUUCUCUAGAUUGUGGCAAGGAUCCAAGGGAAAGAGAGAAAGCCAAAAUGUUCAUGCCCUUUUUUGAGCCACUUUUUUCAAUGAGUUGGCUACUGUCUCCCUAGCUAAACACAUCUCAGCCAAGCCCAGAACCAGUAUGGAAGGUCACUAACCAAAGCUGUGGGUAAAUGGAGGCAUGGAAAUCUGUGACCUUUAAUGCAAUCAUCUACAAUAACAAGCCAAUGACCAUGAAGCUGGACAGAGAAAUAGAUUCCUGGGAGGAAGAAUAGCAAAAUGUCUGGAGUAAGAGGAAGUAGGGUAUUUCAGGGAACUCAGCAAACAGUGUGAUGACAAAAUGAAAGCACAGUCAUGCAAUCAGCACCUGGGUAAAUAUUUAGGUUGGAGUCUGUGUUGACCCAGUCUGCAGGUAACCCUCAGCCUGGCCCAGCAUUUCACUGCCCUCCUACUACUUACCCAGAAACAACUCUCCUGUAUUGAUUAAGCAGGAAAGAGGAAACUCUCCUGGAAGACACAAGGGCAGAUCCAAGCAGGAGCUAAGGUUUUCCAGAAUGUGGUCUUAGGUCUGUGAAUGGCUUUUGGACAGAGGCACAGCUGAACAUUCCCAUGGUUUCUGUGACUUUAGAAUCACUACCACCUCUUGACUAUGCACCUCUUGACUAAUUUCUAUUUCUCAAAUUAUAGAAUAAAAAAUGCUGAUUCUAAGGAUAAAAACACAACAAAUAAUCCAAAAGUAUAUAAGAUGAAAAAUAAUAGUGUGAGUUCUAUUCCAUUCUCCAGAGAGUAACAACUGCUCUCAAUUUGGGCACUUCCUUUCUGUCUUCUUCCUGCACAUGUACUUUUUGCAUAUGUCCUUUGCACGUUCUUAACCAUACUUGGGUAAUGAUGCCAACAUCACAAGCAUAACUUUCUGACAGCCCAGAAAGCCAACCUUGUCUUCUUCCUUGUUCAACCCUUGUGCCAUUUUGCCCUAACCAGAAAAAUACUCCACUUGGUAAUGAUUCUCUCUCUGUGUCUGUGAAAAAUAACAUUGG
rnacentral:lncRNA from 1 species